rnacentral:rRNA from 1 species
GACGGAAGGUGCAAGCGUUGCUCGGAAUCACUGGGCGUAAAGGGUGCGUAGGCGGCCGUGCAAGUCUGGCGUGAAAGCCCCGGGCUCAGCCCGGGAAGUGCGCUCGAAACUGCGCGGCUCGAGUGCCGGAGGGGAGAGUGGAAUUCCUGGUGUAGCGGUGAAAUGCGUAGAUAUCAGGAGGAACACCGGUGGCGAAGGCGGUUCUCUGGGCCGAUACUGACGCUGAGGAGCGAAAGCGUGGGGAGCGAACAGG